GAUGAACGCUGGCGGCGUGCCUAAUACAUGCAAGUCGAGCGAACGGACGAGAAGCUUGCUCCUCUGAUGUUAGCGGCGGACGGGUGAGUAACACGUGGAUAACCUACCUAUAAGACUGGGAUAACUUCGGGAAACCGGAGCUAAUACCGGAUGAUAUUUUGAACCGCAUGGUUCAAAAGUGAAAGACGGUCUUGCUGUCACUUAUAGAUGGAUCCGCGCUGCAUUAGCUAGUUGGUAAGGUAACGGCUUACCAAGGCAACGAUGCAUAGCCGACCUGAGAGGGUGAUCGGCCACACUGGAACUGAGACACGGUCCAGACUCCUACGGGAGGCAGCAGUAGGGAAUCUUCCGCAAUGGGCGAAAGCCUGACGGAGCAACGCCGCGUGAGUGAUGAAGGUCUUCGGAUCGUAAAACUCUGUUAUUAGGGAAGAACAUAUGUGUAAGUAACUGUGCACAUCUUGACGGUACCUAAUCAGAAAGCCACGGCUAACUGCGUG
rnacentral:rRNA from 1 species